ACAAAAACACAUAUAAAUUUAUGAAUUGUAUUGUAAAACAACAGUGCUGUCCGAGUUACCUUCUCUAUACCACCUCUGUUACUUUUAUCACGUCACACAAUACCACUUUUUGUUACGCAAAAUGCCGUGAUUCACAAAUUUAAAACGUCUACACACAGUUGCUGAAAAUUCGCCAAAAUUUAAAUGUUUUGUGAAAACUUCAGAUUUUUACGAUUACUUUUAACCAAAUUGCGAUAAAACUAGAAAACCAAAAUUAUUAAAAUCGUUCAUUUUUCCGGUUUUAAAAACUAUAAACGAAAUGCUACGAAAAAUCUCU